UAUGUAAUGAGUCUAUAUAAAGCACUUGAAGUUUGCUAUGCAUAAUGCGAUAACCAAAGAUAAUAAUAGAGUUGAAAGAAUAAAUCUUCAGAAAAAAUGGCAAUGCACAUUUGCAAGCUUUUUCUCUUGGGACUUUUAUGCAUUGCAUUGCUCCUAUCUUCUGCAGGAGCAACAACCCAAGACGAUAAUAGAAAAAUAAAAUGCAUUUUUGGGGAUUGUGCAGAUUGUGGAAGAAGAUGCAUUCUGCAGGGGUUUCGAAAUGGUGAAUGUGAUUUUGAAAUGGAAUGUUGUUGUCAGAAUCCUUUUUAAAAAAAUAUAUAUUAUUAUAAAUACGCAAUAAUAUCGAAUUAAAAUAAAUACGACAACGUUUUCCAUCUAAGCUUUUAUUUUCAUUGCUUGAAGCAUACUCACCUAUUGUCUGGUUUGAGCAGAAGUAGAAGUGGAAGAGUUGAAAGAAGAAUGACUUCUUCAACAUAAAGAUAUGAUAUAUAGUUAAAGAAUAAAAAGUUGUGAUGAAAAAUGUUAUGUUUAAAAUAAUUUACAUCAUUGGUGUAAAUUAUAGUUGAUAUAUUAAUGAAAAAUUACUAUUGUGUUUUAUAA